rnacentral:rRNA from 1 species
CCCUUAGAUGUUCUGGGCCGCACGCGCGCUACACUGUUCGACGCAGCGAGUCUUAACCUUGACCGAAAGGUUUGGGUAAUCUUCAGCAAAGUCGAACGUGAUGGGGAUCGAUCAUUGCAAUUAUUGAUCGUGAACGAGGAAUUCCUAGUAAGUGCAAGUCAUCAGCUUGCGCUGAUUACGUCCCUGCCCUUUGUACACACCGUCCGUCGCUACUACCGAUUGAAUGGUUUAGUGAGAUCUCUGGAUUGACGCUGGCUAGGGGGCGACCCUUGGCCAGACUGUUGAGAAACUGCUCAAACUUGAUCAUUUAGAGGAAGUAAAAGUCGUAACA